CGGGAAGUAGCUCAGCUUGGUAGAGCACUUGGUUUGGGACCAAGGGGUCGCAGGUUCGAAUCCUGUCUUCCCGU
rnacentral:tRNA from 1 species